UACGGAGGAUGCAAGCGUCAUCCGGAAUGAUUGGGCGUAAAGCGUCCGCAGGUGGUUGUGUGUGUCUAUUGUCAAAGCAUCAUGCUUAACAUGAUAAAGGGAGUAGAAACUACACGACUAGAGUGCGUUCGGGGCAGAGGGAAGUCCUGGUGUAGCGGUGAAAUGCGUAGAGAUCAGGAAGAACACCGGUGGCGAAAGCGCUCUGCUAGGCCGCAACCGACACUGAGGGACGAAAGCUAGGGGAGCGAAUGGG
rnacentral:rRNA from 1 species